GCAGACACUCUCUCUGAAAAAAGUUCGAAGUUUUAAACUCAGCAGCAACUCAAAGCGUUUUGUGUGGAGUAUUGCAGUCGUUUUCUAUCAUUCAUUGAACAUGCCUGUGAAAGUCUAUGUUGUUUAUUGUGGUGCCUGAGGGUAUGAACCAAAGUAUCGUCGGCUGGCUGCAGAUCUGGCAGAUGAAUUUGGUAGAGAUGUUACUUGUUCAGGGGAAGGUACGCCAGGGGCUACUGGGUGGUUUGAAGUGACUGUUAAUGGCAAACUUGUUCAUUCAAAAAAGAAUGGUGAUGGUUAUGUUGACAGUGCCAGAAAGAUGAAGAAGAUUAUUGAUAGCAUCACAGCAGCCAUUGAAUCUUCUAAAUGAUCCUGUUCAAAACCUGUAGUUCAAACCAAGAAUGCAAUGGGCAAAAGUCAGCACUCAGAAGUUGAUUAUAUCAUAAUGACGGAACUAACUUCAAUGCAAAUGUUUUGUAAAGUUUUUUCCAGAUGAUUUGAUGAUUGUAACAGUUUCUGUCUCUCACUUUUGUACGUUGUAUAUGGUAUUAAUACUUUCAAUAUAUUACGUAUAUACCUUAA